rnacentral:rRNA from 1 species
AUUGAACGCUGGCGGCAGGCCUAACACAUGCAAGUAGAACGAGCGGCGGACGGGAGAGUAAUGUCUGGGAAACUGCCCGAGAGAGGGGGAUAACUAAUGGAAACGGUAGCUAAUACAGCAUCCAAUGGGAUGUGCCCCUAUGGGAUGGGCUCGUAGGUGGGGUAACGGCUCACCUAGGGGACGAUCUCCACCUGGUCUGAGAGGAUGACCAGCCACGCUGGAACUGGUACACGGUCCAGACUCCGACGGGAGGCAGCAGUGGGGCAUAUUGCACACUGGGCGCAAGCCUUAUGCAGCCAUGCCGCGUGUAUGAAUAAGGCCUUCGGGUUGUAAAGUACUUUCCGCGAGGAGGCGUUACUCGCAGAAGAAGCAUCUGCUAACUCCGUGCCAGCAGCCGCGGUAAUUC